rnacentral:rRNA from 1 species
CAGUCGUACCUGCGGACAAUCAGCUUUUUGAGUGUGAUUAUGUGGAUUGUGAGGAGUUUAAUCACCCUCAUGUUUUACGUAUUCGUGCACAUUUGGUGUACUUGUCCGUGUGGUGGGUUAACAUCAAUUUCGGUCGUCAUAAAAUGAUUGGAGGAAUGUAGCUUUGGUCUCGUAUCGAAGUGUUAUAGAC